GGAAGUAAAAGUCGUAACAAGGUCUCCGUUGGUGAACCAGCGGAGGGAUCAUUAAAGAGUUGCAAAACUCCCUUUAAACCAUCGCGAACGUUACCCACGACGCCGUUGCCUCGGCGGAGCGUCGCCCCGUGCCGUCAAAAGUACGGGGCGUGCGCCCGCCGGGAGACCGGCACAACCAAACUCUUAUAACCAUUGGCCUCUCUGAGUAAGAUUUUUAAAUAAGUCAAAACUUUCAACAACGGAUCUCUUGGUUCUGGCAUCGAUGAAGAACGCAGCGAAAUGCGAUAAGUAAUGUGAAUUGCAGAAUUCAGUGAAUCAUCGAAUCUUUGAACGCACAUUGCGCCCGCCAGUAUUCUGGCGGGCAUGCCUGUUCGAGCGUCAUUUCAACCAUCAAGCCCUGCUUGUGUUGGGGUCCUGCGGCUGCCCGCAGGCCCUGAAAACCAGUGGCGGGCUCGCUAGUCACACCGAGCGCAGUAGCACAUCUCGCUUUGGUCGUGCGGCGGGUUCUUGCCGUAAAACACCCCCCUUUUAUCAAGGUUGACCUCGGAUCAGGUAGGAAUACCCGCUGAACUUAAGCAUAUCAAUAAGCGGAGGAAAAGAAACCAACAGGGAUUGCCCUAGUAACGGCGAGUGAAGCGGCAACAGCUCAAAUUUGAAAUCUGGCUUCGGCCCGAGUUGUAAUUUGUAGAGGGAGCUUUUGGCGAGGCACCUACUGAGUCCCCUGGAACGGGGCGCCAUAGAGGGUGAGAGCCCCGUAUAGUAGGACGCCGAGUCUUUGUAAAGCCCCUUCGACGAGUC
rnacentral:sRNA from 1 species